rnacentral:rRNA from 1 species
AGAACGAACGCUGGCGGCAGGCUUAACACAUGCAAGUCGAGCGCCCCGCAAGGGGAGCGGCAGACGGGUGAGUAACGCGUGGGAACAUACCCUCCGGUUCGGAAUAACUCAGGGAAACUUGAGCUAAUACCGGAUACGGUCGAGAGGCGAAAGAUUUAUCGCCGGAGGAUUGGCCCGCGUCCGAUUAGCUAGUUGGUGUGGUAAUGGCGCACCAAGGCGACGAUCGGUAGCUGGUCUGAGAGGAUGAUCAGCCACAUUGGGACUGAGACACGGCCCAAACUCCUACGGGAGGCAGCAGUGGGGAAUAUUGGACAAUGGGCGAAAGCCUGAUCCAGCCAUGCCGCGUGAGUGAUGAAGGCCUUAGGGUUGUAAAGCUCUUUCGCCCACGACGAUAAUGACGGUAGUGGGAGAAGAGCCCGGCUAACUUCGUGCCAGCAGCCGC